rnacentral:rRNA from 1 species
CCUACGUGAGGCAGCAGUGAGGACUAUUGGUCAACGGACGAGAGUCUGAACCAGCCAAGUAGCGUGAAGGAUGACUGCCCUAUGGGUUGUAAACUUCUUUUAUAUGGGAAUAAAACGUUCCACGUGUGGGAUUUUGUAUGUAACAUAUGAAUAAGGAUCGGCUAACUCCGUGCCAGCAGCCGCGGUAAUACGGAGGAUCCGAGCGUUAUCCGGAUUUAUUGGGUUUAAAGGGAGCGUAGGUGGAUUGUUAAGUCAGUUGUGAAAGUUUGCGGCUCAACCGUAAAAUUGCAGUUGACACUGGCAGUCUUGAGUACAGUAGAGGUGGGCGGAAUUCGUGGUGUAGCGGUGAAAUGCUUAGAUAUCACGAAGAACUCCGAUUGCGAAGGCAGUUCACUGGACUGCAACUGACACUGAGGCUCGAAAGUGUGGGUAUCAAACAGGAUUAGAUACCCCAAUAGUC